UGCCCCUGCUGCAGCCACGAUGCCUGCCAGCUGUGGAGGAGAUCAGUGCAGGGGGGUUCUGGGGCCCUGCACCUAUAACUGCUGACGGGCAAAACUCAUGUCAUUGUGCUU